AAAGAUUUUGACUUUUUAAAGCAGAUAUGUUCCAUUGUAAAUUAACAGUAUAAAAACUAAAAAAUAAAAGAGUCUAUCUAUUGAAGUAUUUUAUAAUAGGAAUCUGAUCAUUCAAAGACUUUGUGAAAAGAAAUUGAUGGACAUGUAUUGAAAAGUUACUUUUCAAAUUCUACUAUCACUACGAGACUCCCUUAAAGAUGGUGUCUUUUUAAAUAAGAUAACAUGAGAAUUUCACAAUCACACUUCCAAUGUCACUGUUAAAGUUCCUUCUUAUUUCAAUAUCACAGAUUGGACAACAAAUCCAUCAUGCUGCAACAAACCCCAACUACAGGCAGAUCAAAAUGAAGGCAUAAACAAAUGAAUGAAUGCUUUGGAAGUUAAUUAUAUCUGAAAGUCCUGCAUAAGUUUCACACUUGAUCAGUUGAGUUUUUCUUUCUUCAGUUAAAAAGUCUAAAGUAAGAAAAAUUUUGGAAAGCAACUAUCUCUUAAUAUGGUUACAGUGUUGUUUGUUUACUGAUGAUGAAUUUAUAAUGUUUAAAAACAGUAGAACUCUUGUACCAACUCAUAUAUGAGAGUGAAAAAUUUUAAUAUCAAUGGACACUUGACAAAGCUCACAAACAAAAUUGAUAUAAGCAGAAGGAGAAAAAACAAACACCUUGUGGGGGUCUCACUUGGGCACAAACAAUGACACACGUAGCCAUUUGGGAAGAAUGUUAUUAUAUUGUGGUGCUUACUUUUCGAUGCCACGAUAUCCAAAGUUUUACCUUCCGAUGCCUCGAUAACGAAAGUUAAAAAAUCAAAUAAGAUUUUUCUUUGGAAAUCAAUCCCAUACAAUUUUUCAAUUUUAGCGACCACAUGAGUUUUGUUAGAAGUGUAGCAACUUAAUCAGUAGAAGAUGUAAUCAAAAUUUUGAUCAUAAUAUAUUUACAAACCCAAAGAAAGACCUUUCAGUACUUUAUUCCAGAACCGACAGAACAACAAAAAAUUUUAUUGACAUAUUCUCAAUAAAGACUGACAAAGAGGAAGCAAUAGCAGGCUGGCUAACUAAAAGCAAAGCUGGCAAAGACAUAGCAGGCUGGCUAACGAAAAUCAAAGCUGGCAAAGAGAAAAAAAUUUGAUCUAGCAAACAAUUGGUGAUUUCUUACACUUAUCGUGUUUAUUUCUUAUUUCAUUUCUUUCUUUGACUUAGUAUGAACAUUAUUCCCCUUCUUCUCCCAAACAUUCGUAAAAUUUUAAUUAUCAAAAUACGACGAAAUCCAUAAAACUCAUUUCCCUUCUCAUCACCCUUUUCAUAAUAACAACAUUUGUUUCAACCCCAUCAAACAUUCUUGGUAGAAAAGUUGGGGCAAGAACUCUUAUCAAGGAUGUGAAAACAAAUAAAAAAGUUCAAGACUUACCAGCAGAUAUUGCAAGAGGACAAUAUUGAGUUGUUGAACUUUGCUAAGGUCGUAAAAGCCGAAACAAGGGUUGUUUUUAGUAUCAAAUAUUACCUUAAAGUCUCCGCAACUGUUUCCUCGACUAUUCCGAAAACGUUUGAUGCUGUAUUGGUAAUAAAACCUUGGGAGGAAAGUCAGUGAACCAGAUUUUCUACGCAAAGACCUUCGAUUAGCCGAUGAUAUCGAAAGUGACAGCAAAAUCAGUGAAGUUGAAAUAAAAACAAAUCUAAAAAUGAAGUAGAGACAGAAAGAGGAUGAGCACAGGGAAAUGGAAGCAGAUUAAUUGCUGUGAGAUAGAAAGAAAUAUGAAGUUGAAGCAGAGAAAAGAAAGAGGAUGAGCAAAGGGAGGGAUUAGUUGCUGGCAGUGAGAGUCCAUAUAUCGCACCAUCCGUCAAAGUGACCUUACGCGUAUUAGCUGUUAGCAAAAUUUACUAAAAGACUAAAGUAGCCCUUGGGAAGCAGGCAUGACGACCCUGACCUGCUUCCAAGCGGCUUCUAUAUAGUAGUACAUUUUCAAAUUUAAUGGAAUAUUUUCCGUAGGAAUUUAGUUAUCCACUAACAAUGUGGAGCUUUUUACACGAUUAACGUAGUUUAGCCUAUUAUAACAUAUUAAUUACUAUUUCUAUCAGUUUAUCAAUAAUAUAUUUAUCAUAUAGAUUUAUCUAUAAAUACCUUAUUAGCGAUGUAUAGAUUUAAACUCUUUUCGGUAUUUGAUCGUAAUGAAUUGAUGAAAAUAGGUAAAUAUCUUAGGGAAUGAUUUAAAUCAUUGAUAGAUUGUUUUUACUCAUAAGUAUCUUAAAUCUUAGCUUGCUCAAUAUCACCGGUUUCAAUCGGCAUGUAAAUAUAAAAUUUUCAAACUUUUUAUAAUAAAAACCGUCAUCAAAACACGGCACACCUCUUCUAUGAUACAAUCUACAAUUAGUAUAAGUUACCUAGUUUUUAUCCUACCAAACCCUUAAUAUAUAACUUAAAAAUAAUUUUCUAAAGAAAGUAUUUUGUUUCAAAUUUUCAUAAAAAAGCAAACAUAAUAUAUCAUACCAAAACGUACCUAACAUAAUCAGUGUCAAUAAAAAAUGAAACAAGAAAUUGAAGCCGUGGCACAUUUGCUACGACAAAAUUGGCCAUAAUUUGAAACCGCAAGAGUACGAAUUAAGCGUUCCAAAUAAAGUAGGCCAACGACUUCCGUUGCUAGUUGAUCUAAAGGGAAAAUAUAAACGGUCAUCCUAACAUAUAUGUACUUUGUAUACUUUUGAAGUAUGCAAUUUAAAUUUUGAGUAUCAACUGUUGUAUAUCAGUAAAGUUUAUACAAUGUAAAUUAUAUACUUCGAAAGUAGACAAAAUAUAGGAUAAAGUUUUAAGUGGCAAAAUUUGUGAAUAAGCACCGGUCGGUAAUAUUUUAGGCUGGUUGGAUAAUCAUGAAAAAAAUCCCUAAGAGCUAAUCAUAAAGCAUAAUCUUAAAGAAGGCAAGUUUAACCACAUUUGCAUAAACAAUAUGUAGAAAUAAUAUGAGUUUAUUAUAAUACAGUCAAACCUCUCUAUAACAACCUUGUUUGUUCCGGAUAUUUUUAGAUGUUACAGCGAAUUGUUAUUAUAGAAAACAUAUAUUAUAAUAUAACAUGAGAUUUGGUUCUGGAAAAUUUUGGCUUUUAUAAAGAAAUUUUGUUAUAUAAAAAUGCUGUUAUAAAGUGGUCUGACUGUAUAACCCAAAAUAAAAAUAAAAAUUCAAAGAGGCCUAAUUUUGAGAAGGUCCAGUUAGUCCACGUUUUUAUGAAAAAAUGGGUGGAAUGACCACUUUUUAGGGCUGCUAUGAGUUUUUAGCCACUGUUUGGAAUGUAUUGGAAUAAUGGCCUCUUCUCUUUUAUAAUAAGAUGGAGAGGACUAUUCUACACUUUUACUAUCAUGUGUUGAGUUUACAUUAAUUUAUAUAUUCCGAUAUCUGGAAAAAAUGUCAUUUAUGAAGUGUGUCCAGCUUUUUGUACGAUAUUCACUUUCCGAUUUGACCAAUUUGGUCCUCAAAAAUAGUUUUGUUAAAGAGUAAAACUAAUUUCAUAUUAUAAUACUAGUUGUAGUUAGAUGGUAUCAAGUAAAACCUUUACCCAUUACAGCAAUAAUUGGCCAGCAAAUGAUAACAAUAAUGUUGUAAAUUAUGUGAGAAUAUAUUAUUGUUCAGUUAAUAUUGGACCACAAAUUUUUAAAGAAGUCAAUCCAAUUAUGGAUAGUAACAUAUUUUUUCUCUAUCUUCUAUCCUUGAGUUAUUAAUUUUAAAAUCAUAAACUCCAUAACUUCAUCCUUAAGUUCUGAAUUAAUGAACUAUAAACUCCAUAAUUCUAUCACUGGAUUCUUAAUAUAUUGAAUAACCACGAACUCCAUGAUUCCAUUCUUGAGUUCUCAAUUGUAGAAUUAUUGAAAAAAUAGUUGAUAAUAUUGACCAAGAACAAGAAGGAAAUAGAAAUAACUUAUCGAACAAAUAUUAUGUCGUGGCAAGUCACUGUCUUGAAAGCGAUUCGGCCCGACUAGGGUACAAAUCGUUAAGACCGGUCGCUCUCCAAAGUUUUACGGCACCUCCAAACACGUGCACUCGUGGCUGAAAGUUUGGAGUUUGCAUAAAACAAUUACCUAGAAACUGACUUGAGAAGAAGAGAUGAAAAAGUUUUUUUUUUGUUUGAAAACUUCACAAAACAAAUCCUUAUAUAGGUAAGUUGCUGGAGCUGUUACAAGAAGGAGAAUUAAGUAGGUGUUAGCCCCUCAGCUUGAUUGAUCGAACAUGGCAUGGGCGUGACGAAGGAUUUACAAGAUGGACCUCGGCACGGCCCUAUAAUGACUGAGGCAUCAUGUUGACAAGGUUGUCCGACAUGAGCAGGUGUUGAUGGGCAUGGAUUGUGGCACGAUAGCAUGUGGCUUAGGUGCUAAGGCAUGAUAAGACCAUAGCAUUGGUGUGGCCAUGGCACGGCAAAGACAACAGGCAGCAAAAGCAUAGUAAGGGUUGGAAAAACUAAGGCAAACUAAGACGGGGCGUGGCAAGGCAGAUGGGCACGGGCAAGGCAGUGUCAUGGAUGAGCUGGGCAUGUGAAAUUCGUAGACAUGCGUGCAAGGCAUGUUGCACAUUAGCAUGGCACGAAGGCAUGACAAGGUUGGGCUUAUUGGCGCCACAAUUUGAAGGUUGCACCCAUGUGCCACGCACAUGCAGGGCAGUUGGGUAGUUUCCUGUUUUUCAGCAUAAGUGGCUAUGUGGAACUGUGGGCAAUUAUCUGGUUUGAAUUUCGAAAUUUGAAUUCCUUUGUUGUUGGGGAUGUCAACUGCUAGGAUAGGAUAAGGCUGAGAGCCAAAAACGUUUGCCUAACUAUUCUUAGUCUAGGCAGACUUGUCAAGGCAGAGUUGGCUGUCUUUGGCUUCUUUUUGUAAGGCUUUUGUAUGUGUUUCUUUGUAGCACGAGUUUAAUACAAAGUUGGAAAGUGAUUCCUAUAAACUGUUCCUUGUGUGAUUUCUAUUGCCUUUUAUAUUCUAAGUGUCAAACCAAAACAUGAAGGAAAAAGGAAGAGGGCUGAGUCAUUGUUGUGUGACUGUCGUACAGUGUCAAAACGAAAAAAAAUUGACCCUGUAACAACUGGUAUCAGAGCAACGUCGGCAAGAUCUUGGAAUUAUCAUGGCUGAAAAAGCAAAAAUUCAUGAAAGACUUCAGAAGUUGGAGACGUUGGUUGGCAUAACUGAUGACGCAAUAAAUCUGGUGGAUAUUCUGACGCAAAUCCAUAGCGUUAACACAGAAUUUCAAAACGUUCGUGAGAGUGUUGAUAUCCAACCGGUAGAAUUGCAGGCUUUCGAGGAAACUGCUGCAAAGCAGUUGGAAAAAUUACAGAAGGAGAAUGAGGAUCUUAAAACAGUAAUUCAGAUCCUCCAAUGGGUUGUUGCAAAUGUGCCCCAAGGAGGUGAAGAACAAACCAAAAUUAAGAUUCCAGAGCCAAAGGCAUUUGUUGGCGUGAGAAGCGCCAAGGAACUGGAAAACUUCUUAUUAGACUUGGAGCAUUACUUCUCUACUGCUCACGUCCCGGAGAAGGACAAACUGACCAUGGUGGUGUGUUAUUUCAAAGGAGACAUAGUGCUGUGGUGACGUACGAAAAAUGCAGACGAUGAAAGUGUUGGCAGGCCCAAGGUUGAUACUUGGGAGAAACUUCAUGACGCGCUGAGGGAUAAGUUCUUUCCUAGUAACUCGUCUUGGGUUGCUAGGGAUCGCUUGAAGCGGUUGAGACAGACUGGUUCCAAUCGGGACUAUGUGAAAGAUUUUUCAUCCUUGUUACUGGACAUUCAAAACAUGUCGGAUGAGGAUAAAUUGCACAAUUUCAUUUUCGGAAUAAAAGGCUGGGAACAAAAUGAAAUUCAUAGGCAAAAAGUUAAAUAUCUGCCUAGUGCAAUUGCGGCAGCGAACGCAUUGGUGGAUUUUUGCUCAACAGGUCUAACUUCUGAUCCUGCCUUUUCUUCUAAGUCAAAGAAAAAGGAGAAGAGUAAGGAUUGGAAGAAGGACAAUCGGAAACAAGAUGGAAAUGACAUAGGCAAAGGCAAGAUGGAUGCUUCUUCAUCAAAAACAAACAGGCCAAUGGGUGGUGAAAAGGUUUGUUGGACAUGGAAAAAACCUGGACAUCAUGCACGAAACUGUCCAACGCAGGGAAGAUAAAUGCUCUUCUUGCUGAAGAGGAGAAACAAGGAAAGGGACAAGAAGUUGCUGCCUAUGUGAAUCCGUUGCGGCUGUUGAACACUUUGGCUUGUGUGACUGUGGCGGAUGAUAAAGAAAAUGAUGCCAAGGAAGAAGUUGCAUAUGUGAAUGCUACGAGGGAUGAUUUGGCUGAUGCUUAUUCCACAUUAAUAUAUGUGGAUCUGAAAAUUGGAAACAGGAGUGUCGUGACAAUGGUUGAUACCAGAGUCACACACACCUUUGUUGCCUCUAGAAUUGUUCAAAAGUAUGGGCUGCAAGUGACAAAGUGUUCGGCGAAGAAGAAGGCUGUGAACUCAAAGGCGCAACCUGGUUAUGGGGUGGCGCUAGAUGUCCCGAAGAUAUUGGGCCAUUGGUCUUGAAAGUUCAACAAGACUGUUGUACCAUUGGAUGACUUCAAUGUGUUGUUGGGAAUUGAUUUUUUGAAGAAGAGUAAAGUUGCUCCAAUUCCUCAUUUGGAUGGACUUAUGUUCAUGGGGGUGACAAUCCCCGGCUUUGUGAUAGGUAUUCGGCCCUACAGGGAUGAAAUAAAGAACGCUGGGAUUGCUGCUUUGAUUUCUGCCAUUGCAUUUGAGAAAGUCUUGAAGAGUGGUGAGGAGACUUACCUCACUGCACUCGUUGAAGUCAAGUCAGAUGUGCAGAUUGAGGUACCAGAUUGUGUUGAAGAUUUGCUGAAGGAAUUCAAAGAUGUGAUGCCUCCAGAAUUGCCAAGGGAGUUACCACCAAGGAGGGAGAUUGAUCACAGGAUUGAACUUAUUCCUGGAUCACUACCGCUUGUGCGACCUCCUUACCACAUGUCGCCUAUGGAACUGACUGAACUAAGGAAGCAAUUGUUUGAGUUGCUUGAUACUGGGUUGAUUCAACCAUCGAAGGCUUCAUACGGUGCUCUUGUUUUGUUCUAGAAAAAGUAGGAUGGUACACUGCGGAUGUGUGUUCUGAACAAGGUGACUGUCAAAAACAAGUAUCCGGUCCCUUUGAUUCAAGAUUUGCUGGAUAGGCUUUUGAAGGCUAGUUAUUUUACUAAGUUAGACCUAAGGUCAGGCUAUUGGAAGGUUAGGAUAGACAAGGAGGAUUCCCCUAAGACCACUUGUGUAACUAGAUGUGGUAGCUUUGAAUUUCUUAUAAUGCUAUUUGGGCUAACCAAUACCCCGACAACUUUCUGUAAUUUAAUGAACAAUGUUCUUUACGAGUAUCUUGAUGACUUUGUAGUUGUUUACUUAGACGACAUAGUCAUCUAUAGCCGGACCUUUGAUGAUCAUUUGUCUCACUUAAGAAAAGUGUUGAAAAGACUUAGAGCCUAUCAAAUCUAUGUCAAGAUAGAGAAGUGUGAAUUUGCAAGUCACGAGAUAAAGUUUCUAGGACAUUUGGUUAGUGAAAACCAAGUGCGGAUGGACCCAAAGAAGGUGCAAGCAAUAGUUAAUUGGCAAGCACCAAGCGGGAUAAAGGAACUUAGAUCAUUUUUGGGCUUGGCAAAUUAUUACCGGAAUUUCAUUGCAGGCUAUUCACAGAGGGCUUCUCCUUUGAUGAAUUUACUGAAAAAGAAUGUCAAAUGGGUUUGGUCGGAUUUGUGUGACAAGGCUUUCAAUGCAUUGAAGAAGGUCAUUGCAUCCGAACCAAUCUUGAAGCUGUUGGAUUUUGAUUUGCCAUUUGAAGUACACACGGAUGUUUCAGAUUAUGCUGUUGGCGGUGUGCUGGUCCAGAAGGAUCAUCCGGUUGCAUUUGAAAGCAGAAAGUUGAAGGUUGCGGAGCAACAUUAUUCUGCACAUGAGAAAGAGAUGGUUGCAGUAAUUCAUUGACUUCAAGUUUGGAGAGUCUACUUGCUGGGAACAAAGUUCGUGGUGCGGACGGACAACGUGGCUAAUACCUACUUCAAAACUCAACAGAAAUUGAGUCUGAAGCAGGCCCGGUGGCAAGAGUUCUUGGCUGAAUAUGACUUCGUUUGGGUGCACAAACCUGGAAAACAAAAUCAGGUUGCCGAUGCACUUAGUCGCAAAGAGGUAUUUGCUGCAACUUAUGCACUUACUCGAAUUGAAUCUAAUUUUCUGGAUACAAUCAAGUUGUGUGCUAUGAACAAUCCAUUGAAUGUGAAAUUGAUGGAUCAAGUAAAAUAUGGGACAAUUAAAUGCUAUUGGAUCGAGGACGAUCUGCUGCACUUCAAAGGGGGGAGAAUUGUGGUUCCUCAAGGUACCGGAUUGCGUCGUUCUCUUCUAAAUGAAAAGAUGCAUGAUACUCUUUAUGUUGGUCAUCAGGUUAUCGAAAGGAUAUUGGCGUUGCUGUCUUAGAAUUACUUUUGGCCAAAAAUGAAAGAUGACGUUUAGGCCUAUGUGAAAACUUGUCUGGUUUGUCAACUUGAGAAGACUGAACGGAAGAAAGAAGCUGGUUUGCUACAACCUCUACCUAUUCUGGAUUGUCCGUGGGCUUCUGUUUUUAUGGACUUUAUUAGCGGGCUUCCAAAGGUUGAUGGCAAAACAUCAAUUAUGGUGGUGGUAGACAGAUUCUCAAAGUAUGAAAUUUUUGUUGUUGCUCCAACCGUUUGUUCUUCUGAAGUAGUUGCUGAAUUAUUCUACAAGCAUGUUAUGAAACACAUUCCAAGGGAUAUUGUGAUUUAUCGGGAUGCGAGAUUUACAGGCCGAUUUUGGACUGUUGUGUUCAAAUUCUUGGGGACUGAUUUGAAAUGCUUGACUGCAAAUCACCCACAAACCGAUGGGUAGACCGAGCAUAUCAAUCAUCUACUUAAAGAGUACUUGAGGCAUUAUGUGACUGCCCAUCAGAGGAAUUGGGUUGAGUUACUAAACAGUGCAUAAUUUUGUUACAACUUGCACAGGUCUUCGGCAACUGAAAUGAGUCCUUUUGAGAUAGUGUUGGGAAAACAGCCUGAGACACCGCUGGAAGUUGCUCAGUUGAAAUCAGGGGGCAAGUGUCAUGCUGCCUAUAGAUAUGCUCAUGACAAGCAUGAGUUACUGGCUGAGGCCCGAGACAACCUGAGAAGAGUGGCUAAAAGAAUGAAAUGGAAUGCUGACAUAAAUAGGCAGCCUUUGGAGUUCAAUAUUGGUGACAAGGUGUUGCUGAAGCUUACUCCACAGAUUUGGAAGAAAAUCGGUAGCAAGACGCGUCAUCGUGAAAUGAUUCCAAAGUAUGACGGCCCGUUUAAAGUUGUAAAGAAGGUGGGUAAAGUGGCCUACUAGCUGAAUCUGCCGGAAAGUAGAGCACAAGCAAUUUGAGGAGACUAUUGAGAAGAUUUUGGAUCACCGUACGCUGGGUCAAAGCAAAAAGAACAGGCGGGCAGAGUUCCUGGUUCAAUGGACGGGAAAGCAGGAGUGUGAUGCAACUUGGGAGAAAUGAUCGUCUUUAUGGCAAUUUCAGGAUCAAAUCAAGGUGUAUCUGGAUUCUGCCUCGUCGAGGGCGACGAGAUUAUCUGGAGGGGGAUGUUUGUUAGCCCCUCAGCUCGAUUGAUCGAAUAUGGCAUGGGGUGGCAAGGGAUUUACAUGAUGGACCUCGGCACGGCCCUAUGAUGACUUUGGCAUCAUGUUGACAAGGUUGUCCGACAUGGAUAGGUGUUGAUGGGCAUGGACUGUGGCAUACGGCAUGUGGAUUAGGUGCUAAGGCAUGAAAAGACCAUGGCAUUGGCAUGGCCAUGUCAAGGCAAAGACAACAGGAAGCAAAAGCAUAGCAAUGACUAGAAAAACUAAGGCAAGCAAAGGCAGGGCGUGGCAAGGUAGAUGGGCGUGGGCAAGGCAGUGUCAUGGGCAAGAUGGGCAUGCGGCAUUGGCAGACAUGCGCACAAGGAAUUCUGCACAUUAGCAUGGCGCGAAGGCAUGACAGGCCUGGGCUUGUUAGCACCAAAAUUUGAAGGUUGUGCCUAUGUGCCACGCAUAUGCACGGCAGCUGGCCAGUUUCCUGUUUUUCAGCAUAAGUGGCUAUGUGGGGCUGUGGGCAGUUGUCUGGUUUGAAUUUUGAAAUUUGAAUUCCUUUGCAGUUGGGGAUGUCAACUGCUAGGAUAGGAUAAGGUUGAGAGCCAAAAACGUUUGCCUAUAUAUUCCUAGUCUAGGCAGAUUUGUCAAGGCAGAGUUGCCUGUCUUUGGCUUCUUUUUGUAAGGCUUUUGUAUGUGUUUCUUUGUAGCACGAGUUUAAUACAAAGUUGGAAAGUGAUUCCUAUAAACUGUGCCUUGUGUGAUUUUUGUGUUUUUUAUAUUCUAAGUAUCAAACCAAAACAUGAGGGAAAAAGGAAGAGGGCUGAGUCAUUAUUGUGUGGUGGUCGUGCAGUGUCAAAAUGAAAAAUAUUGGCCCUGUAACAAUAGGGUUAUUAAAUAAAAGAGCUAUUAUAGAAUUCAAGUAAGAGUUACAAGAAUUCAAAUAGCAGAUACAACGAAUUAAAGCAUAAUUGUUACAAAGAUAUAAACCAAACAUUACAUAAUUCAAUUCAAAGAGAAUGAAUUUGGACAUAUUUUGGUAAGCAUGUAUAUGGACACUUUUCUGGUAAGCUCAAAAAUGAAGAAAUAAGUUUUUAGCAAAACUAGUUUUGGAUAAGGCCUCACGUAUAUCACGCGCGCUCGGGAGGGGGGAAAUCGACAUGUUUUGCCUUCAUGACUAAUUUCUCAUUUGCGUGAGGUCACUCCCUUUUACUAGCUCUUUACAAGCCUGACAAAGAGCAAUUCAAUAUAAAGAGAAGAAAGAAACUUUCCACAACUGAUGAGGGUUGCUUUAUCUUUUACAAAAGACAAAGAAGUAGAGUAGAGAAAGGUACCACAAAAGAAAAGUGAAAAAGACUACAAAAGAAUCUUUGGGCUUUGCAUUACCAAGUAUAAAUAAUACCAACAAUACCCAACUAACGCAAAGAUAAAGAAAAAAAAUAAGAACAAUUAUGGGAAAAAGAAAGAACAUAUACCUAAAUGUCAAUAUCUUUCGAUUUGAAUUGACACGUAGUGAAAUAAAGCAAUAAUUAACAUCCACAAAGUGAAGUACUCUUGAACUGAAUGGACAUGAAUUGAGACCCUCACAACACAUAUUGUAUCCUUAAUUUUACGCAAACUCUGCGAUAUAACAAAGAGCUUUUAUGGUCAUACACACACCUUGGGUCUCAUGAGUACUCUAGAAAAAUAUCCCUAGUCUUUCAUAAAAGGCGACCAUACCUUUAUACUCACGUAGGUGAUUCCAUCAAAUCUAUAUACACAUAGACUACCUUAAGGCUAUGAAAUCAUUAAGAUAAAAAUAAGCUCAACCUUAUAAAGCACUACCAUACGCCAUAGGGAUAGGAAAUGUAGUGCAUAUUGAGAUCUCAUAUAGCUUCGUUUGACCACAAAUGAAUAUCCACUAUACUUCCUUAAUCCAUGGGCUUUAGCCCCAUCCCCCUCGAUGUUUCAAGGAUAACUCUCCUUGCCAAACCCUUGGUUAAAGGAUUUACUAAAUUUCUUUCGGACCUUACAUAUUCUAAGAAAAUAACACCAUGUUUCAAUAAUUAUUUUACUGUACCAUGUUUAGUGCGGAUAUGUCUUCUUUUUCCAUUGUACAUACUAUUUUGGCAAUUCUAGUUGCUGUAUAUGAGUCAUAAUGCAUAGAAACUAGUGAAGCUUGUCUUUCCCACAAAGGCACGUCUGCCAAUAAGUUUCUCAGCCACUCCUCUUCUUUCCCUACCAAUUAUAGAGAAAUAAAUUCAGACUCCAUAGUAGAUCGUGUUAUACAACUCUAUUUUGAAGACUUUCACGAAAUAGCACCUGCAUCUAAAGUAAAUACAUAGCCACUAGUAGACUAACUUCGUCAUUGUCAGUAACCCAGUUUGCAUUAGAAAUUCUUCUAAAACAACAAAAAAUUCAUUAAAAUGCAAACACCAAUCCAUAGUAUCUCUCAAAUACCAUAGCAAACGAUGAAAAGCAUUCUAGUGUUCACUAUUGGGAUUGUGAGUAUAUCUACUCAAUAUACUAAUGACAUAAGCAAUAUCUGAUCGUAUAUAAUUCAUGAGAAAUAUUACACUACCAAUUAUCUUAGCAUAUUUAGUUUGAGAAACACAAAAUUUUUUAUUCUUUCUCAAGUGUAUGCUAUGAUCAUGAGGAUUUCUCACAGGAGCUACAUCAAAAAAAUCAAACUUUUUCAAGAUGUUCUCAAUAUAAAGAGACUUGGAUAAUGAAAAACCAUUAGAAGUUCUUUUGAUUUUAAUCCCUUAAAUCGCAUCUGCUUCUCCGAGAUCUUUUAUUUCAAAUUAGACGACAAUAAAUUCUUAGUCUCAUUGACAACAUUCAUAUUAGGGUCAAAGAUUAACAUGUCAUCCACAUACAGACAUAUAAUUACAUAAUCUGAUCCUAUCAUCUUGGAAUAAACACAAGUAUCAGAUGCAUUAACAUAACGACCCAAUCGGUCAUUUUGACAUUUGCAUUCCGUUCAGCUGUUUGAAGUCUUGAGUAUCUUCACAUGAUGUAAUAUGACUUGUGUGAAUCAUCGAUUUGGUUUUCAGGUGAUUCAGAAUUUACUUGGAAGAAUAAAUCUUAUGUUAGAAGCUUUAAUUUAGAAGAGUUGACCAAGUUUGACUAUUGUGUAUUUGAUCCCGGAUCGGAGUAUUGAUGGUUCUGUUAGUUCUGGAUGGUGAUUUUGGACUUGUGCAUAUGCCCGAAUUUGCAUUUGUAUGUUUCUUGAAGGUUAUGACGUUAAUUGGCAAAAGUUGGCAAUUUAAAGGUUUAGAAAGUUCAUAGGUUUGACCGGAGCUUGACGUUGAUGAUAUCAGAUUGGAUUGUGGUUUCGGGAAUUGGAACAGCUUUGUUAUAUCAUUUGGGACUUGUGUGCAAAAUUUAAGGUCAUUCCGAGUUGAUUUGACAUCAUUCAGCACGAGUUUUGGAAGUUGGAAGUUCGAAAGUUUAUUAUGUUUGAUUUGAGGUACGAUUCAUAAUUUUGAUGUUGUUAUGUGUGAUUUAAGGCCUUGAGUAGGUCUGUAUUAUGUUUUGGAACUUGUAGGUAUGUUCAGACGGGGUUCCGAGAGGCUCUAGCGAGUUUCAGAUAUGGUUUGGUUCAUUUUGCCUCAUCUUGCAUUGCUGAAGAGGGGCUGAUGCUAGUGUUUCCGCAUCUGCGGAAGUAUGGACGCAGAUGCGGACCAGCCUUCGCAGAACCGAAAGGGUCAGUGUUUGGGAACAUCGCAGAUGCGAGGUAUUAGGUCGCAUCUGCGUUAGCGCAGAAGCGAUGGUUGGGGCGUAGGAGCGAGAUAUUGCGCAAAUGUGUGUAUUGUGUUGCACCUGCAAUGUCACAGAAACGAAUGGUGUUCUGCAAGUGCGAGUGGUCGACUUUCUAGUUGUUUCCAUAGAAGUAGACGUGAUGUCACAGAAGCAGCUUAUUCUUCGCAUUUGCGAAAUGCCUGGGAAGAAGCUAUACAUUCGAGGGCUUGUUCAUUUUGUCACAUUGGGAGAUUUGGAGCUUGGAUUUGGGCAAUUUUGGAGAGAAUUUUCACCGCAUGGAUUGGGGUAAGUAUUUCCAACUGGUUUUGAUUAUAUUUCAUGAUUCCAUCUUUUAUUUUUAGCAUUUGAUUGAUGAAUUUAAAGAGAAAUUGGGGGGUUUGUCUAAAGUUUCCUAAAGUAAAUUUUUGAGUUUUGAACAUCAAUUCAGACUAGGAUUUGAGUAAAAUUAGUAUGGUUGGACUUGUAAUUGAAUGGAUUGUCUUGUGAGUUUUGUCGGGUUUCAAGGUGCGAGCCCAGGUUUGACUUUUUGGUUGAAUUUGAUUAUUUGAUUAAAGAAUCGACCUUUAUCAAUUGGGAUAGUUUCCUUAGGCAUUAUUUGAUGUUUUGAGUUGCUUUUGGCUAGUUUCGAGUCGUUCGGAGGUUGACCUACGCGGGAUGGUGUUCUAAAGUCUUGUUGGCUUGCUCGGUAUUUGAUUUGGCUUGAUCGAGGUAACUAACAUAUCUAAACUUGCAUUUGAGGGUAAAUAUCACUUAGAACUAUGAUAUUUGAGAUGGGUUGAGGGUGACGCACGUGCUAGGUGACGGGUGCGGGUGCGUACACCGAGGUAUUCAUGAUUUAGGUGGUUUGUAGGCUAUUAUAUGCCUUAUUUUGAUAUCAUGCUUCUUCGAUUUCAUGUUUUCUCCACCUAUGUGACUACGUGAGAUAUCAUUCAUGUUAGAAGUUAUGUCUAGGCCACCUCCGUAAUUGUUUGAGUCAUGAUAGGUCUAUUCACGCUAUGUUGAACUAUUUGCCUUAGCCGUAGUCAUACUAUACAGUCACGAUAGUUACAUCUGCAUGUUAUAUAUAUGUCUCUGAGCACUUUUGAUAUGUUGUCUCACAUGUUAUUGGUGUCAUUGUAUGCGACACAAGUUUGGACGGCAUUUGAGGCACAUUGUGAUAAUCCGUGUUAUAUAAUUGUAUUAUGCUUCUGUAAGAUGUUUACAUAUUGAGACUUGAGCGGAUUGAUGAUUGAUGUGGCCCAUAGAGCCGUAUUUAUGUUGAUACUUGGAUCGAGUUGCACGCUACAACGGUUAUAUUGAUAUUGAAGUGAUGUGUAUGCUAAUCCCCCACAUUGGUCUAAGCUGUACUGAUUUGAGGCUACAUAGGCACCAUGUCCCAUAAGUUGGGCUAAGGAAUUACAAUUAGCGCUUGGGUAGGAUCCUCCCCUCCGGAGUCUGACAUGCUAGCAGUGGGAGCAGACAUCGUAUUUCAUAUACGUGCUUUGAUGAUGGGCAGUUAUACCAGGCACUCUUACAGUGCUAAGUAUGAUUAUUUUGAUGGAUCCACGGCUAUGAAACGGGCUUUGAUCCAGGCACCUGGAGUGUGCUAAGAUUGUGUGUACUUAAUGAUUUCAUUGUGAAACUGAAUUUUCGACAUGUUUAUUUGACUUGUAGUCAUAGAGAUGUACCUUUUUCAUGCUAGACAGUGACAUGACAUUUGAUUACUUGACAUGUAUACCUGAGAUGUAGGCAUAGAGAUACAUUUUCCUCAUGCUAGACAGUAAUGUAACAUUGAUGAUUUGACAUGUAUAUUUGAAACGUAGGCAUAGAGAUGUAUAAUCCUCAUGCUAGACGGUAUAUGAUAAUUGAUGACUUGAUAUGUAUAUUCACAUGUAGGCUUAGAGAUGUACUUUACUCAUGCUAAUUGGUAACAGAAAUUCUUAUUUGGUGUUGUGAAUUGGGGAUACGAUUCUUUUGAUAAACUCAUGUUUAUCUUUUUCUCAGUGAUGAGAUUUGGAAUUGAUUGUUUUACUUGAAAGGCAUACCUACUUUCCCGAAACUGUGAUCAAGCUGAGCAUAUACUCAUGAAUCAUAUUCCUUUACUGGUUUCACUACACUGUUAUGAACUGUUAUUGGCUAUUUAUGUUGGGAUCUGACUAUCUUCCAAGCUCAUCACUGCUUUCAACCUAAGGUUAGGUUUAUUACUUAUUGAGUACAUGGGUCGGUUGCACUCAUACUACACUCUGCACAUUGCGUGCAGAUCUUGGAGUUGAUGUCGCUCUGUGUGGCGAGAGAUGGCAUUGAAGUUGUACUUGUGUUUCGGUUAAAGUUUCCACUUGUCCUUGGUAGCUUUAUAAUUAUAAAUUUAUUUCUGUAUAUUUCGAACAAAUGAUGUAUUUAUUUCAUGCCACCUUUAUAAAUUCUAAGUCUUAGAAGCUCAUAAUUUGUACUACUAGUCCUUGGGUUGUUGUAUAAAAAUUAAGUUAUUUCAUUAUUUAUUUCUCAAUAAUCUCAUUUGGAUUGUGUUAUUUUUAAUUGUCUUACCUAGCGGGUUGGGUUAGGUUCCAUUACGACUAGUUAGAUUUUGGGUCAUGACAAGUUGGUAUCAGAGCUCCAGGUUCAUAGGUUCUACGAGUCAUGAGCAAAUGUCUAGUAGAGUCUUGCAGAUCGGUAUGAUGACGUCCAUACCUAUCUUCGGGAGGCUAUAGGGAAUUUAGGAUAAACUUCCCAUCUUUCUUUCCUUAUCCUGCGAUAUUAAUUCAGCUUGAAGCGUAUCUCUUUGAAUUCCUUCCACUCACUCGUAUGUGUGUGUGAGAGCUCGGUAUCAGUUGUGCAUCGACGGCUUGUGAUUCCAUGGAUGAGGUGAGAGAUGUAUUUUCUGUGUUUUGGUGAUGGUCCAGUCUGGAGGGCUUGAGACCAGGUCUAGACCACAGCUUGGGCUAGGUGGUUCCAGUUGUGUGAGCAUGUGCUUUCGGACUUAUAUGUCCGGUAGUGUCUCGACGAGUGGGAUUGAUGUAUCGGUGAGUGGUUGGAUGGCUAUAUGAUGAGUAUGAUGUAACUGCAAGAUGUGUUCAGACGGCUUGGAUGUGACAAGAAGAGUUUGCUUGGGAUGUGAAAAAAAGGACUAUUGGGUACUGGAUUUGUGUCUUAAUGUGUUAUAUAGUUUUGAGUUGUAAGUGUGUUGAGGGUUCUUUUAUGUUGUUCGUUUGUGAAAUGAAGUAAAUUCUUUUGUGUUGUUGACGAGUUUAGACUUUGGAAGAUUAAGCAAUUUCAUUGUGGUUGUGGCCGGAACAGGGCGUAGAGAAAUGCCAGUUUGAGGCUAAAAAGGCAGGUUAUCUCAUGAGUAAGGCUGGCAAGUGGGCCGGUCCAGGACCGGCCUGGGACCGCAGGCCAAACGGGCCAGGACCGUUAGGACCGGUUUUAGUGGGCCUGGACCGGUCUCGUGGGUCGGGCCUAUGCUUUGGGUCCGCCAGAACCUGGACCAUUUGGCCUGCCAGGGACCGGGAUCGGACCGGUCCCCUCGUGGGCCAAACGAUCCCAACGGUCAACUUUUAAAAAACAAAAAACAUUUAAAAUUUAAAAAAUAGUCGUUGGACUGUCAAAAUAGCCGUUGGCUAUUUAUAAAAUAGCCAUUUAACCCCCUCCCCCCUCCCCAACUUUGUUUUAACCCCAAACUUUUUAUAAUUAUACUUUUUUCCUAUUUUCAACUAUAAAUACCCCCUCAUUCUUUCAUUUUUCUUGCAAAAUCAUCAAUUUAUCACAAUCUCUCUCUAAUUUUCUUCUAUAAUUGCUACUAUUGCUUACUUUAUUGUUAGAAUUUGUGAAAAAAUUGUGAAGUUGGUGAGUUGAAGUCUUCAACGAUAAUCAAUUUUCAAUAAGUUUUUCGUCAAUUCGGUAAACUUGUUCCAACUCUUAAGUUUUAAUAUUAUAGUUUUGUUUGUUUUAUUUAUUUUCUAUUGGGAGUCAAUUUUGCCAUAAUAUUAGAGCUGGUGAACAAUUAAACCAUGAAUUAAUGAAUGCUCUUUAUUCUAAUCCAACUAUUGAUGAAAAUGAUGACGAGGAAAUAGAUUUUGAUGAAACUCAACCGGAUGAUGAUACACCCACUAGUCCUGCUCCUGAUGUUAACCCAACUAGUGAUAACCCUAAUAAUCCAAAUAAUGCCUCAUCUGAUACUCAUGUUAUUACUCCUACUUUUUCUAGACAACCUAGCAAACGGACAGAAAUAUCUCCUGUUUGGCCAUUUUUUACUCAACUAAUUCUAGAAAAUAAGGCUAAGUGUAAAACUUGUGGCACAUAGUUAGCUUUUAAAUAUUUUGGAUUGUGGGGGGGGGGAGAACUUUGGCUAGACACAUAUUGAAACACCCUCAAGAUAGAGUGAGAUAUAUUCGUCUGAAAGCUUUGGCCGAGGGGAAAAGUCUACCUACUCCUAGUCAGGUUGACCCUAGUACCGGAUCAAAUCAAUUUCAACCGGGAAUUAACACUGUUACCGGUGGUAUUUUAUAUUAUGAUCCAAAAAAAGAUCGGGAAGAAUUGGCAAAAAUGGUAACUGUUAUGUGCUUACCCUAUAGUUUUCCUUCUGACCCUAACUUUGUGCAUUAUAUUAGAAAACUUUUUAAUCCUACUUAUAAAGGUUUUUCCUCGCACAACUAUAAAGAACGAUAUUUAUAAACAUGAAUAUGAACAAUAUUUGCGCUAUUUAUUUACUCAUAUAAAUUGUCGUGUUUCUAUUACAACUGAUAUUGGUAGAAGUGGUAACGAUUGUGAUUACCUUACUGUUACCAGUCAUUGGAUUAAAGAGGAUUGGAUAAUGCAAAAGCACAUUAUUGCUUAUAGAAUAAUUAAUUCACGUCACACAGGGCAGUUUAUUGCUAGCAUAGUUAUGGAUAUUUGUAGAUAUUUUUGCAUUAGUGAUAAAAUAAUGUCAGUUUCAAUAGAUAAUGCUACUAGUAACACAAAUGCUAUAGCCUUGCUUACCACUACGCUAAAUCCUGCAUUUAGUGACAUUUUUCAUGUUAGAUGUAUUUGUCAUAUUUGCCAUUUAAUUGUGGGUGAUGGUAUGAGAAUUUUAAAUAUUGAAAUUCUAAAGGUUAAAAUGGCUCUUAACUGGCUUUUUUAUUCAAACCGUAGAAGUAGACUUAGAGAAUAUUUUAAAAGAUGCGAUGAAUUUGGCCUAAGAGAAAGAAAGGUUCCUAAACCUUGUCCAACUAGAUGGAAUUACAUGUAUGAAAGUUUGGUUGUUGCAUAUGAAUAUAGAAACCCCAUAAACUUAACAUUUAAUGCACAUGUAAGUGAUGAUGAUGAACACCUUACAAAUGGGGAUUGGGCUAAUGUAACUUGUAUGAACAAAAAUUAGUAUGUAUUAUGUAACUUGUAUUUUGGCACAUCUUGAUUAGUUUUUUUUCUUCUNNNNNNNNNNNNNNNNNNNNNNNNNNNNNNNNNNNNNNNUCUAAUUUUUAUUUAAUUUAAAAAGAAUCUGCUAGGCCCACUUAGCCCAUUUAGCCCGCGGGCCGGGACUAUUUAGUCCGGGACCAAACGGUCCCGGUCCCGGGCCGGUCCUUACAAAAAGAUCAUUUAGCCCGGGCACGUUUGGCCCGUUUAAUUUGGGACCGGUAUGGGACCGAUUGGACCGGCCCACUUGGCCCGUUUAGGUCCGGGACCAGCCCACUUGCCACCCCUACUCAUGCGGGAUGUUCUAAGGUUGCGUGAUUCUUAUGAUGUUGGUAUGAACAGUUCUGUCUACCAGUGAGUGGUAUGUGUGGCAAUUUGAAUUUGGAUCGCUUGAGGAAGUUGACUUGACGGUCACGGGGAUGAAUGUGAGCUUAGCAGAUGAUUUGGGGUAUCUUUAUGACUUACGUUAUGUGAGCUGAUGAAGGAUUUCGUUAAAUUAUAGUGUGGGAUUAUGGUAGUAAUGGAGCAAGGGUAUUGUGGGUUUUCGGAUGUUUUGAUCUAUGGCUUUGAGCUAAGUGGGGGAGCCUGAUAUCGAUGGCCAGAUUGCAUAGUUAUGUGUUGUAUUGGUUACGGUCUGAGGCGUGAUUGUGGAUCAGUUAUGACUUGAAGAGUUUGAUUUUGAGGAUGACUUGAGUAAGGAAACUUCUAGAUGCAUGAUGUAUUGCACUUUAUGGGAAUACCAGAAAUCUUGGAAUGAUUUGAGUUGUUAUUCGUGGUGGAGGUAGUGUGCAUGGAGUAGGGAUUUUUUCGUUUGCCUAGAAGUGUGGGUUACUUCUUGAGGUGAUUGUGUGCUAAUGGAGCACAAGUCGUUCAUCUUGUUUUGGCGGUGCAUUUGAGAUUGAAUAGGGUGGAAGACUCCCGAGAAGGUUCUACUAGGUUCAUGAUUCAUAUGUGGUAUUUGAGAAACUUUCGGGAUUUGUAAAAGGCUAAGAUCUGAGAUUUGCAUUGAAAGGUGUCAAGACUUGCGGUAUAUCUAUAUCAUUAGAGGUUUUACAUUUCAGUAUCAGAGAGGUUAAGGAAAUAAUUUCAAGUUCGCGGAAGCUCUCUUUAGAGUGGUCCAUUUCAGUUGCGGUACUGUUGGGGUGCUGAAAAGGGAAUACAUUGGCUUAUGGGCCUUAGGGCGAUAUGGUUUUGAUUCCAGGAUUUCUCGUGGUGAGCGUUGGGUUAAGGGUUGUAGUGUGAUGGCAAGGAGGAGUGUUAACUUGAAGGCAAUUCAGAAGAAACUCAGAGAAAUAGGUCAGUUGGGUAAUGGUUUAGAUCGACGUGGUAAUGGGAAGGUUCAGUUCUUUUGGUUCUCUUGGUAUGGUGUGGUUUUACAGGUGUUUUGUGGCAAUACUUUUGGGUUUGGCGGCCUGCGUGAUUUUGGUUGAGUUAGAGAAAUUCAGUUCGGAUUACUUGGUUAUGUGUAAAUGGGCUUCGAAGAGUUCUCGAUGAUUUCUGUCACGGCUUGAGAUGGAUAUUUUCUACAAGCAUGGGGAGUUUGUUGCGCGUUGUGAUUUUCUCCUGGAUGGGAUCAAGUGGAAGGUUUCUAGCUGAUUGAGUGUGCAUUCUUCUUGUGACUCAGAGUUGAUAAUGGGAUUCUCGUUUUUUCAUAUGAUGGCAUGAUAAGUGCGUGUGACGUGUGGAAUUGAGAAUUUUACGCAUAAGGUUGCAGUUCAGUUUCGAAGGGAAGGUCAUGAGUUCCAGAAAGUAUAGACAAUUUUUGAUGUUUAGAAGAAUGUUAACAGUAUCUGGUAUCACCUGAGAAGAGUGUGCAUUUCAAAAGGCACCUUACAUUUUGACUUAUAGAUGCUUCAUUGGUAUUGCGAUACUCGCCUGGUUGGUUAACUAGUGAUGUUUAGAUUUUGCUAUAUGGCACGGAGGAAUUAUGGAAGUAUUCCUAGUGGGAUGAUUGGGUAUGAGAGAUGAGUUAGUCAUUUGAGUGGUAGAUUUGGGAUCGGAUAUGGUGAUUCUAGUAUUCUAGGGAAUUGGAGACUGGGAGUUAUUAGAGGCAAUUGUUCCUUGGUUGCAAACUGUGAAGGUAUGGCCAAAGUUAAACAGCUAAUAGUUUGUGUUAUGGAUAGGUUAUUGUGGACUUUUGGAGGGUUAUUUAUCUAUAUAUGGGUGACCCUAGUUGAUUUGGGGGCCCAUUGACCCAAUGAUGAUGUGUAUUUUACACCGGGUCAGAUUUGUUAAUUCAACACUGCUACUUUUGAGGGAUGUUAAAAGUUGAGCUUGUACGUGUUCUGAUAUGUUCUAUGUGUUACUCUUACAAUACAAUAGGUUGUGAUCCAUUGGUUAUUUACACACUAGAUGCGAUUUUGUUUGGGCCUUGUAGUGAAAUUCGAGCGAGAUGGCUCUUGGUGUGAAUGGUUGAUUGUGCCUAGGUUGUGGUCUUUUCGGUUUGCAGUGUAUUGUGUUAUAUGUUCCUCCAUGGUUAUAGUCAUGCACAUAGUGUGUUUAUUGUUGAUUUGCGUGUGGUUGUUGAUUUUGAGCAUCAUGGUUCUAGGUAUUUCAUGUGGACUAGUGUUUGGAUUGGGUCACGCAUCACAUCGGUGUUAUGCUGGGUUAUGAUCCUUUGUGUUAGAUUCGUGUGUCUUGGUCCUACUAUGUGUGAAGGGUUCAAAACAUCGCGUUUGUGGUGGCACCUGAAGAGCUUGUGAGACGGUUCGCUCAUUUGAGUCAUUUUCUAUUUUUGGGCACAUUUGAGUUAUUGUUUAUUGGUGCACGGUUUGUGGGUUUAGGAGUGUUGGUGUAUCAUGUCCGUAGAGCAACUUGUAUUUGAUCAGAUGAGGUCAUCGGACCUAAAAUAGGUGUUAUCGGAUUUGAUUACGGUUUGUUUAGAAGAAUAAUAUCGGAAGUCGGCUUAGAAUUUGGCUUUGGUGCUUGUCGGACGAGAGAGAGAGAGCUCCAUGAUUUGUUGAUCUGAUGAGUGGUUAUGAGUUACUGUAUGUUUUCUUUCAUCAUUGGUAGUGUUCGAAGGGUUAAAAUAAGGUUUUAUUUAAUAUGAGGUUUAUUACCAGUACCAGUUUUAUUAUGAGUAGCUAAUAUGGCCGGAAGUUAUUGCUAUGAGUAUCUGAGUUACGUGGUAUAUCGUGUGAUUACAUCUUGGAUUAUGGUUAUGGCCUGAUACAGCUUGUUCAGACUUAAAUUGUGUGUAGAUGCGAGAUUCGGGUAUUAUAAUGAAUUCCGGAUGAUGGAAACUGGUUCUAAAGUUUAUGUGCUAAAGUUGAAGUGAGGAUCUUCAGUUAUCUUGAAUUGUCACGCUUACAUAAUUGGGGUGACGUGGGAUCACCCAUGAGUAUGUGUAUGGUGAUCCUAUACCGUGAUUUGAUGUCUUUGGAAUGACUUUUGGCACGUUCGAGGACGAACAUAUGUUUAAGUGGGGAAGAAUGUAUUGACCCAACUGGUCGUUUUGAGCAUUUGCAUUCCGUUCAGCUGUUUGAAAUCUUAAUUAGCUUCAUAUGAUGUAAUAUAACUUAUUUGAAUCGUCGAUUUUGGUUUUCAAGUGAUUCGAAAUUUACUUGGAAGAAUGAAUCUCAUGUUAAAAGCUUUAAGUUGGAAGAGUUAAACCAAAUUUGACUAUUAUGUAUUUGAGCCCGGAUCAAAAUUUUGAUCGUUCUGAUAGGUCCGGAUGGUGAUUUUAGACUUGAGAGUAUACCCAGAUUUGCAUUUGGUUGUUUCUUGAAGGUUAUGGCAUUAAUUGGCGAAAGUUGGCAAUUUGAAAGUUUGGAAAAUUCAUAGGUUCGACCGGGGGUUGACUCUGCUGAUAUCGGGUUUGGAUUGUGGUUCCACGAAUUGGAACAACUUCGUUAUGUUAUUUCGGACUUGUGUGUAAAAUUUGAGGUCAUUCCAGGUUGAUCUGAUAUGAUUCGACACGAGUUUUAGAAAUUGAAAGUUUGAAAGUUCAUUAACUUUAAUUUGAGGUGAUAUUCAUAAUUUUGAUGUUGUCAUGUGUGAUUUAAGGCCUCGAGUAGGUCCAUAUUAUGUUUUGGAACUUGUUGGUAUGUUCGGACAGGGUUCCGAGAGGUUUAGGCGAGUUUCAAACGUGGUUCUAUUCAUUUUACCUCAUGUUGCAUUGUUGAAGAGGGGCUGGUGCUGGUGUUUCCGCAUCUGCGGAAGUAUGGAUGCAGAUGCGGACCAGUGGUCGCAGAACCGAAAGGGGCUGUGUUUGGUAACAUCACAGAUGCGAGGUAUUGGGCCGCAUCUGCGUUAGCGCAGAAGCGAUGGCUAGGGCGCAAGAGCAAGAUGUUGCGCAGAUGCGUGUUUUGUGUCGCACCUGCGAUGUCGUAGAAGCGGAUGGUUUUUCGCAGGUGCGAGUGGUCAACUUUCCAGUUGUUUCUGCAGAAGCGGACGUGAUGUCGCAGAAGCGGCUUAUUCUUCGCAUUUGCGAAAUGCCUGGGAAAAAGCUAUAUAUUCGAGGGCUUGUUCAUUUUGUCACAUUGGGAGAUUUGGAGCUCGGUUUUGGGCGAUUUUGGAGAUGGAUUUUACCACAUGGAUUGGGGUAAGUAUUUCCUACUCGGUUUUUAUUAUAUUCCAUGAUUCCAUCUUUGAUUUUUGUCAUUUGAUUGAUGAAUUUUAAAGAGAAAUUAGGGGUUUAUGUUUAAUUUUCCUAAAGUAAAUUUUUGAGUUUUGAACAUCGAUUCGGAGUCAGAUUUGAGUGAAAUUAGUAUGGUUAGACUUGUAAUUGAAUGGAUUGUCUUGUGAGUUUUGUCGGGUUCCAAGGUGCGAGCCCAGGUUUGACUUUUUGGUUGACUUUGAUUAUUUGAUUAAAGAAUCGACCUUUAUCAGUUAGGAUAGUUUCCUUAGGAAUUAUUUGAUGUUUUGAGUUGCUUUUGGCUAGUUUCGAGUCGUUCGGAGGUUGACCUACGCGGGAUGGCAUUCUAGAGUCUUGUUGGCUUGCUCGGUAUUUGGUUUGGCUUGUUCGAGGUAAGUAACAUAUCUAAACUUGCAUUUGAGGGUAAAUAUCACUUAGAACUAUGAUAUUUGAGAUGGGUUGGGGGUGACGCACGUGCUAGGUGACCAGCGCAGGUGCGUACACCGAGGUACUCAUGAUCCGGGUGAUUUGUAGGCUAUUAUAUGCCUUGUUUUGCUAUCAUGCUUCUUCGAUUUCAUGUUUUCUCCAUCUAUGUGACUAUGUGAGAUAUCAUUCAUGCUAGAAGUCAUGUCUAGGCCACCUGCUUAAUUGUUUGAGUCAUGAUAAGGCUAUUCAUGCCAUGUUGAACUAUUUUCCUUAGACGUAGUCAUACAGUACAGUCAUGAUAGUUACAUUCGCAUGUUAUAUAUAUUUGUCUCUGAGAACUUUUGAUAUGUUAUCUCAUAUAUUAUUGGUGUCCUUGUACGUGACACAAGUAUGGACGAUAUUUGAGGCACAUUGUGAUAUUCCUUGUUAUAUAAUUGUAUUAUAUUUUUGUGAGAUGUUUGCAUAUUGAGACUUGAGCGGAUUGAUGGCUGAUAUGGGUCAUAAAGCCGUAUUGAUGUUGAUACUUGGAUUGGGUUGCACGCCGCAAUGGUUAUAUUGAUAUUGAGGUAACGUGUAUGCCAGGCCACCACAUUGGGCUAAGAUUUACUAAUUUGUGGCUACACAGGCACCAGGCCCCACUAGUUGGGCUAAGUGAUUACAAUUAGUACUUGGGUAGGAUCCACCCCUCCGGAGUCUAACAUGCCAGCAGUAUGCGCAGGCAUAGUAUUUCAUAUACAUGCUUUGAUGAUGGGCAGUUAUGCCAAGCACCCUUACAGUGCUAAGUGUGAUUAUUUUGAUGGAUCCACGGCUAUGAAACGGGCUUUGAGCGAGGCACCUGGAGUGCGCUAAGAUUGUGUGUACUUAAUGAGUUCAUUGUGAAUUGGAGUUUUUGACAUGUUUAUUUGACUUGUAGGCAUAGAUAUGUACCUUCCUCAUGCUAGACAGUGACAUGACAUUUGAUUACUUGACAUGUAGGCAUAGAGAUGCAUUGUUCUCAUGCUAGACGGUAAUGUAAUGUUUAUGAUUUGACAUGUAUAUUUGACAUUUAGGUAUAAAGAUGUCUAUUAGCCAUGCUAGACGGUUAAUGAUAAUUGAUGACUUGACAUGUAUACUCACAUGUAGUCUUAGAGAUGUACUUUACUCAUGCUAAUUGGUAACAUAAAUUCUUAUUUGGUGUUGUGAAUUGGGGAUACAGUUCUUUUGAUAAACUCAUGUUUAUUUGUUUCUUAGUAGUGAGAUUUUGAAUUGACUAUUUUACUUGAAAAUCAUGCUUACUCUCCCGUAAUUGUGACCAAGCUGAGCAUAUAUUUCAUGAAUCAUAUACCUUUACUGGCUUCACUACACUGUUAUGAAUUGUUAUUGGCUAUUGAUGUUGGAAUCCGACUAUCUUCCGAGCUCAUCAAUACUUUCAACCUAAGGUUAGGUUUGUUACUUAUUGAGUACAUGUGGUCGGUUGUACUUAUACUACACUUUUGUACCAUACGUGCAGAUCUUGAAGCUUAUGUCGUUGUGUGUGGAGAGAGAUGACAUUGAAUAUGUACCUGCGUUCUGGUUAUAGAUGCCACUUGUCCUUCGAAUAGAUGAUGUAUUUAUUUCAUGCCAUCUUGUAAACUCUAAGUCUUAGAAGCUCAUGAUUUGUACUACCAGUCCUUGGGUUGUUGUAUAAAAGUUCAGUUACUUCAUCAUUUAUUUCUCAGUAAUCUCAUUUGGAUUAUGUUAUUGUUAAUUGGCUUAUCUAGCGGGUUGGGUUAGGUGCCAUCACGACUAGUUAGAUUUUGGUAUGUGACAAUUAACAAUAAAAUUAUUAUCCUCUAAUGUGCUAUUAAACUUUUCAUACAAUUUCUUAGGUGCCUGCUUUAGACCAUACAGAGACUUUCUCAAUUUGUAUACUUUGUUCUCCUAUCCUUGGUUCACAAACCCCUCAGGUUGAGUCAUAUAGAUCUCUUCCUCUAAAUCAUCAUUUAGAAAAGCCGUUUUUACAUCCAUUUGAUGUAUAACUAAAUAUUGAAUAGUGGCUAAAGCAAUAAGAAUUCUAAUGGUCGCUAUUUUAGUCACAGGAGAAUAAGUGUAAAAGUAAUCAUGCAUUUCUUUUGGUUAAAACCCCUAAUAACAAGUCUAGCCUUUUAUUUCUCAAUUGUACCAUCAGGUCUCAAUUUCUUCUUAAAUAUCCACUUGCUACUUAUUGAUUUACAACCUUUAGGAAAAUCAGACAAGUCCCAAGUAUGAUUAGAAACUAUAUAGUCUAAUUCACUUUUAAUGCCUUCUUUCCAAAAAUUAGCAUUUAUUCCUUCAUGAUAAGUCUUAGGGUCUUCUUCUGUUAAAUAUAUAGACACUAAUUCAUCAUUCAAAAUAUCAAGAUAAAGAUUUUCAGUCAAGAAAGUAGUGAUAAAGUCAAGACCAAAGCUAGCUUCAAUUCUAUGUCUUUUACUCCUUCUACGUUCAUUUUCAUGCUCAUUAGCAGUAACACUAGAAGAGGGCACAAUAUGAGAAUUAACAGACAUAGAUGUAGAAGCAUUAUUAGGCACAUUAUUUUUCAAUGGAAAAACAUGCUCAAAAAAUUCUUCAUCUCUAGAUUCAUAAAUAGAAUUAUCAUUCAAAGACAUAAAUAUAUACGCAAUACUAUUUUGAGCAUAACCAAUAAAAAUGGCAUCAAAAGUAUUGGGUCCAAUAGUUACUUAUUUAAAAUCAAGUAGACCAACCUUAGCCAAACACCCCCACACUUUCAGAAUUUUCAAUUUAGGGGUAAACCCUUUCCAUAACUCAUACAGGGUUUUAUCUAACUUCUUGUGAGGGACUUUAUUAAGAACAUAGCAUGCAGAUAAAAUAGCUCUCCCCCCCUCCCCCCCACAUAUUAUCGGAUAAACCUAAACUCAAAAGCAUAGAAUUCAUCAUUUUCUUAAGGGUUCAAUUUUUCUGUUCGGCUACACCAUUUUGUUUGGGAGUAUAGGGAUCACUAACCUCAUGUAUAAUGCAAAUUUUUCUCACAAAAGACUUCUAGAGUAUUAAUACUAUAUCAACCACCCUUGUCAUGCCUUAGUCUCUUGAUUUUUCUAUCUAAUUGAGUUUUUACUUCUGCUUUGUAUUUCAAAAAUAUAUUUUCAGCCUCAUCCUUAGACUUAAGAAUAUAUACCUUAGUGUAUCUAGAAAAGUUAUCUACAAAAGUGAUGUAGUAUUUCUUUCUACCCUUACUAAUAAUGUUCUUAAAAUCAGCUAAGACCGAAUGCACUAGUUAAAGCAAAUCGGUAUUUCUACUAGUUACAUUCUUAAAAGGCUUUUUGGUAUGUUUUGUUUCUACAAAAACAUGAUACUUAGAAAAUUAUCAACAUUAGUUGCAGAAGUUAAUUCUAAUUUUUAAAGUUUUUUAAUAGAAGCAAUAUUAACAUGAUCUAGUCUACCAUACCAUAAAUCAAUAGACUCAGCAAUAUAAGCAGAACUGGAAGUACUAGCAUUAUUAGUAAUCUCUUGAACAAUGUUCAGUACAAAUAAACUUCUAUUCCCAACAAAGUCUCCCCCACGAGAAAUAAUAAUUUUAUCAGAUUCAAAAAUAAGUUUAAGACCUGCUUUAUUGAGAAACGCACUAAGUUUCUACGAAUGAAGGUACGUACAGAACAUAGUUCAAGGCUAAGGUUUGUCCAGAAGUUAACUUAAGAAGAAUUUUUCCUUUACCCAUAAUUCCAGCCGUAGUGGAAUUACAUAUGAAGACACACUCGCCAUCAGCAGAUUUCUCAAAGUCGUGAACAGCUCCUUGUUGGCACAAAGGUGCCUUGAAGCGUUUGUGUCCAGUAUCCAGUUAGUCUUGUUAGCCACCAUGUUUGCCUCAACGACCGCUACAACAAUGACAUCACCACCCUAAGUAAGGUUAGCUUAGAUUGGAGCUUUUUUCUCCAUGCUUUGAACUUUGCCCUUGUCUCUGUUUGCACUGGAAAGCCUUGUGAUCAAUUUUUUCGCAGACAUAGCAAGGUCUUUUCGACUUUUGAAUUUGGCCCUCUGGCUUAUUGAAGUAAUUUUGCUUCUUCACAUAUGCUUUCUUCUAACCUUUUUUCUAUUUGCCUUUAAACUUGUCUUUCACAAAAGUACUAGAAGAUUUCACAAGGUUAGCCUUAGAAGAAUUAAGAGAGAGAGAGAGAGAGAGAGAGAGAGAGAGAGAGGAGGGAGAUUUCAUCGUAUCCUUAAGUUGUUCUGCCUCCUCAUCUUUAAGAUGGUUUGCUUCAUCGGUCCUCAUGUGACUGAUCAGUUCUUGAAGAAUUAAGUUUUUCUUCUUGUGUUUCAGUUGAUUCCUGUAAUCACUCCAGGAAGAUAGAAACUUUUCAAGAAAAACAUUAGCCUGAAGAACCUCACACAUCUCUAUGCCUUCGUUCAGAACAUCAACAAUCAAGUUCUCAUACUCGUGAACCUGCUCCAUGAUUGGCUUAUCAUCAACCAUCUGAAACUUGAUCCGCUUUCCAACCAUAUGCUUUUUUCCGUAUCAUCCGCACCAUAUUUCUUCUCCAAAUUGUCUCAUAUGACUUUAGUAGAUUUAUAAUUUAUAAACAAAUCAAAUAGAGGGUUAGUCAUAUGGUUAAGCAGAUGCCUUCAAACAGUUCUAUUAUCCUUUUCAAAUUUCUUUUUAGCAGCAUCGUCAGAAACAACAAUAGCACUAGUAUUAGAACCAUCAUCAACAACAGUAGUAUUAUAAACCACAUCAACACGAGGUUCGUUAAACAAAAUAUAAUCAAUUUCUAAUUGUUAUCAAAAACUUUUGGGACCAACACUUAUAGUUGUUUCCAUCUAAAGGCUCAAUCUUUGACAAGUCAGAAAGUAUUUUGUUAAGACAACUAGCCAUUGAUCAAUAUUGUAAAAUUGCUUUCAAUUGUUGGAAAAAUAGUUGAUAAUAUUGACCAAGAACAAGAAGAAAAUAGAAAUAACUUAUCGAACAAAUAUUGUAUCGUCGCAAGUCACUGUCUUGAAAGCAAUUUUGGCCCGAUUAGGUGAAAAUCAUUGAGAUUGGUCGGCCUCCAAGGUUCCACAAAACCUCCAAACAUGUGUACUCGUGGCUGAAAGUUUGCAGUUUACACAAAAUAAUUGCCCAGGAACUGACUUAAGAAGAAGAGAUGACUCCUUGGGUUAUUGCACAGGAUGUGAAGAAAAUUAUAGAGAUGAAGGACAACUUCAAUGUGAUCUUUCAACAUGUGUUCAGAUAAGGCAACUCAGUGGCAGAUUUUAUAACUAAUAUUGUGUUCUCUUUUGCAGGUACAUCUGAGUUUCAUUCAUUCUAUGAACUGCCUAGUACAGGGAGGAGGUUGAUCAAUCUAGAUAAAUCUCAAUCACCUAACCUUAGGGUUAGGAUAGCAAAGAGAAGAACCCCAAACUGAUGACUUCACAGGUUGGACUCUGCACAAACCUGCAUGUUUCUUUAUCUCAUUCAGUAUGCUAUUAAGGUACUUUCCAAUGGUAUUAGCAUGGUCCCAUGCUCAUUCUGGGGGUGCUUUGAUAGUGUACAGAAAAAAUACGAUAAGUAGGUGUGGGAUGGUACAAUUUAUCCUACUUCUGCUAUGUCCAAAUGCUAAGGAAAAUGUUGAACCCAUCAUAUGGUAUUUCUGGAGAUUGUUGAAUCAUUUCUCAGUGGUAUUAGCAUGCUUUCAUGCUCAAUCUGAGGAUGGUUUAGCAAUAUUUAGAAUGAUGUCUACAUUAAAGGUUCUAGUAGGGAAGGAUCUGAGCUUACAAGAUCACAAAAAGGCACAAUUUUAAAGCCUGGCCUUUGCCUUGCAAAGCCUGCUUAAAGCCAGCUCAUUCCUGGCUUUUGCCUUGCAAAGCUGGCCUAAAUCCAGCUCAUGCCUGGCUUUUGCCUUGCAAAGACUGGCUAAAGUCAGCUCAUGCUUGGCUUUUACCUUGCAAAGC
rnacentral:lncRNA from 1 species